rnacentral:rRNA from 1 species
GCAGCGAAAGCGAGUCUGAACAGGGCGUUCAGUUCGUGGCUUUAGACCCGAAACCGAGUGAUCUAGCCAUGUGCAGGAUGAAGGUGGGGUAACACCCACUGGAGGUCCGAACCAGUGCCCGUUGAAAAGGUCUUGGAUGACGUGUGGCUAGGGGUGAAAGGCCAAUCAAACUCGGAAAUAGCUGGUUCUCCGCGAAAGCUAUUUAGGUAGCGCCUCGCGUGUAUGUCCCAGGGGGUAGAGCACUGGAUGGGCUAGGGCCGCCCACAGCGGUACCAAACCCAACCAAACUCCGAAUACCUGGGAACUUGCGCGGGAGACACACGGCGGGUGCUAACGUCCGUCGUGGAGAGGGAAACAACCCGGACCGACAGCUAAGGCCCCCAAUUCGUGGCUAAGUGGGAAAGGCAACCAGGAGGUUGGCUUAGAAGCAGCCAUCCUUUAAAGAAAGCGUAACAGCUCACUGGUCUAAACAAGGGGUCCUGCGCCGAAAAUGUAACGGGGCUCAAGCCACGAGCCGAAGCUUCGGAUGCAUUCCGCAAGGGAUGCGUGGUAGCGGAGCGUUCUCUAAGCCGGCGAAGCGGUACCCGUGAGGGGCCGUGGAGGUAUGAGAAGUGCGAAUGCUGACAUGAGUAACGACAAAGAGUGUGAAAGACACUCUCGCCGAAAGUCCAAGGGUUCCUGCGUAAAGUUAAUCUGCGCAGGGUUAGCCGGCCCCUAAGGCGAGGCCGAAAGGCGUAGUCGAUGGGAACGGGGCGAACAUUCC